CAAUGUGUGUUAUAGUGGUUAGGGAACUGGGCUUAUAACUCUGGGGUUGUGGGUUCGAUUCCCAGCUGGGGCA
rnacentral:tRNA from 1 species